rnacentral:rRNA from 1 species
AUACGUAGGGGGCGAGCGUUGUCCGGAAUUACUGGGCGUAAAGGGCGUGUAGGCGGCCUAAUAAGUCAGGUGUGAAAUUCCAAGGCUUAACCUUGGCGCUGCACUUGAAACUGUUGGGCUUGAGGUCAGGAGAGGGAAGCGGAAUUCCCAGUGUAGCGGUGAAAUGCGUAGAUAUUGGGAGGAACACCAGUGGCGAAGGCGGCUUCCUGGACUGCACCUGACGCUGAGGCGCGAAAGCUAGGGUAGCGAACGGGAUUAGAUACCCCGGUAGUCCUAGCCGUAAACGAUGGGUACUAGGUGUGGGAGGUAUCGACCCCUUCCGUGCCGCAGUUAACGCAAUAAGUACCCCGCCUGGGGAGUACGGCCGCAAGGCUGAA